ACCUUGUGCUUGUGAGACAGGCACGGUGCCACUGAGCUAAAUCCCCGGCCCUGUAUUGUUUUGGUUUUUGAGACAAGCUCUUGCUAUAUUUAGUUUAGGCUGGCCUUGAGUUAUGGAUCCUGGUGCCUCAGCCCUCGGAGUAUUGGGAUUACAGAUGUGUGACCACCACUCCCAGCAUAAAGUUGUUAUAUUACUGAAAAGGUAAAAGUAUAUAAGCAGGUAGCACCUUCAACAAAUAGCUACCAAUGCUAUGGCUGAGGAAACAGAGGGAUGAAGUUGGAAUGAUUAAAAUAUAUAAGCUUAGAGGAAAGGCUUCACAGAGUUGAAGUUUCAACCUUUUGGGAUAGGUUAUUGCCCCAGAUGGCAUUGGGUUCUCAGAGCUUGGAGGAGAGUUCCUGAGGCCCAGGCCCCAGAAGAGGCGGCCCACCGAUGAAGCUGGCUCUGCAAGUGCUGGCAAAACCUGCAGCGGCAUUCAUCAACUGUGACAGGAAAGCACUCCUACUGCCAAGGGUGAAGAAGAGUUGCUGGGAUGGAAGGAGCAAGACCUUUCUCCCUCCAGCCUUGCUCAGUGUUGGCCUUGCCACAGCUGACCAUUCUGGUCCAGAGAGAGAGACUGAGACGGCCAUGGAUCGACUAGGCAAGUAGAUGGCAAGACUUGGGUGGCUGUUGGGAGAGAUAGAGGAAAGUUGAGAGGACAGUCCCUGUGUCUUGUUUACCUUUCUAGCUGGUCCUUUUUUUUGGUACGGGAGAUCGAACUCGGGUCCUUGUGCUUGUGAGGCAGGCAGCGGAACCACUGAGCUAAAUCCCUGGCUCUUGAAUUAUAUUCUUUAAUUUAACAUUGUGAUAUCAUUGGGAGAAGCACUCAGUGCGUUUUUAUUUAAAGUUUAACUUAAUAAGGCCAGGGAUUUAGCUCAGUGGUUCUGCCUGCCACGCAAGCUCAAGGUCCUGAGUUAGAUCCCCGGUACCAAAAAAAAAAUGUUUAACUUAAUACUGUAUUAUUUUCUCAUGCCAUUAAACUUAAAAACAUUGAAUGAAGUUGGGCAUGGUGGCACAUGCCUAUAAUCCCAGCACUCUGGAAGGCUGAGACAGGAGGAUCACAAAUUCAAGCCCAAGUUGGACAACUUGGCUACACUCUUCCUCAAUAUAAAAAGUGAAAAAGGGGUGGGAAUAUAGUUCAAUGCAAAGGUCCUGGAUUCAAUCCUUAGUCCUACUCCCCUUUCCCCAAAUUAAUUUCCCCAAUUGAAUUUAUGGCAUUCCGUUGAAAAAUAAGCCAUGACUUGUUUUAGUAAUUUAAUCCUCUAUGGUUAGAUCAUUCCUGAUUUUUAUUAUAAAUGCUUUUCAUAUUAAUGAAGAUAAUGUGCUUUUCGUGUUUCUCUUGUCUUCAUGUUCUUAGAUGAUUUAAAAACCCUUUCUCAUUUAUGUUUUUAAUGUAUUAAGAUUAUUAGUCUUUUGAUUGUCUCUCAAUUGUUGCAAAUAAUUUUACACAUCCUCA